rnacentral:rRNA from 1 species
UACGUAGGGACCAAGCGUUGUUCGGAUUCACUGGGCGUAAAGCGCACGUAGGCGGUUCGUUAUGUCGGAUGUGAAAGCCCUUGGCUUAACCGAGGAAGUGCAUCCGAAACUGGCGAGCUAGAGUACGAAAGAGGAUCGCGGAAUUCCCGGUGUAGAGGUGAAAUUCGUAGAUAUCGGGAGGAACACCGGUGGCGAAGGCGGCGAUCUGGGUCGAUACUGACGCUGAGGUGCGAAAGCAUGGGGAGCGAACAGG